rnacentral:rRNA from 1 species
AUUGAACGCUGGCGGCAUGCCUUACACAUGCAAGUCGAACGGCAGCACGGGAGCAAUCCUGGUGGCGAGUGGCGAACGGGUGAGUAAAGUAUCGGAACGUGCCCAGUCGUGGGGGAUAACGUAGCGAAAGUCACGCUAAUACCGCAUACGAUCUAUGGAUGAAAGCGGGGGAUCGCAAGACCUCGCGCGAUUGGAGCGGCCGAUAUCAGAUUAGGUAGUUGGUGGGGUAAAGGCUCACCAAGCCGACGAUCUGUAGCUGGUCUGAGAGGACGACCAGCCAGACUGGGACUGAGACACGGCCCAGACUCCGACGGGAGGCAGCAGUGGGGAAUGUUGGGCAAUGGGCGAAAGCCUGAUCCAGCCAUGCCGCGUGCAGGAUGAAGGCCUUCGGGUUGUAAACUGCUUUUGUACGGAACGAAAAGGUUUGGCCUAAUAAGCUGAGCUCAUGACGGUACCGUAAGAAUAAGCACCGGCUAACUACGUGCCAGCAGCCGCCGUAA